GCGUCAGUGGUGCAACGGUUCAGCAAACGCUCCCGGUAAGGGUAAGAUCUGGGUUCAAAUUCCGGCCUGACGCA